rnacentral:rRNA from 1 species
AUGAUUCUACCCAAAGAUAUGGGAGGGAUGGGGUUUAGAGAUAUGCAGGCGUUCAACCAGGCGUUGCUAGCUAAGCAGGCUUGGAGGCUACUAGACUGCCCUGACAGCAUGUGCGCUCGACUGCUUCGGUCCAAAUAUUACCCGAAUGGUAAUCUACUGGACACAAUUUUCCCCUCUAGCUCGUCUACAGUCUGGAAAGGAAUC